ACAUCAAUUUAGCAAAGUGAGUAACAUUUACUCUAAUUAAAUAAAAAUUAAAUUUUCCUCACUUAUGAGUAAGAUCAAAUGUCAUAAACAACUGGAACCGUAUUUCCAAGCUAGAAUUUUCACGAACAAUGUCCGUGGAAUUUCUGCAAUCAGCAGCUCAAAGCUACCGUAGGCAACAUUCUUCGUUCCUCCGAAACAGGUUUACUGAAUCGGAGUUCCACAUACUGUCGAUCAUCUGAAUAAAUUCUUGGUGCAAAUAGUUCCGAGGGAUUGAGCUUCAUAUUAACAGUAGGAAGUUUCAGACAGUAAAAAUCCCAGAAAUAUCCGGGAGUAGCUCUGCUCCCAGAGAGUAUUGGUUUAUCUGAUAGCAUAAAAGGAUAGCGUUCAAAUGAUCAACAUCGGUAACCGAAAGUUGACGGAAGAUUCUGAUAACUAAAAGAAGCAUUAACAGUAACGAAACUGAUGCUGCCCAGUAAACUAUCACAGAUAGUCAAGCUUCGAUGUGAAAAAUUUAAUAAUGUAUUGUGUUAAUUUCGUUAAUAUUUAGGUUUUAAAUGUUGUUAAAUAUAAAAUGUUC